rnacentral:lncRNA from 1 species
CUGUGUGAACGGGGAUCUUUUUCGACAAUGUUGCCAUCUAUGUGUAAAGUUCACAGCGGCUCAUCAUGUAAUCUCCUCAUGACUACAGCAUUUCCAGUGAGGUUACUUUAAAGCCUAAUUAACCCCAAUUAGACGUUGAUAAAGACUAUCAGGCUCCACAGAGAUGCACCAUGUUACAGCUGUUGAUUCCUCUUCAAAGUUAUUGUCACUUCAAGAUAUAAGGUUGUCACCCUAUAGAGUUUUCAAGAAGCUGUGUGAAGGACGUUCAUGUUACAAUGAGUUACAGCUGUUGAUUCCUCUUCAAAGUUAUUGUCACCUCAAGAUAUAA